GAGGAAUGUAUAGCAAUAGCUACUUGCAUCAUUGCAUAGAUGAUGCAAGAUCGACUAUGUCGAAUAAAAUUCUAGGUAGAAUUAUGAUAAUGACAUUGUCUGCCUAUGUGUCUUGACCAAAUUACGUGCCAGCAGUCGCGGUAAUACGUAGAAGACUAGUGUUAUUCAUGUUUAAUCGGUUUAAAGGGUACCUAGACGGCNAAUCAAGCUUUCAAAUAAAGAAAAUUAAAGUACUAAUUUGCUAGAGUUACUUAUGAGGGGGUUUUAAAGUACUGCUGGUGUAGAGAUGAAAUUCUGUCAUACCUUUUUUCAAAAGAAAAAUUAUGGCACAGGUAUAGGCGAAGGCAUCCCCUUAUGUGAUAACUGACGUUGAGGGACGAAGGCUUUGUAUAGCGAACAGGAUUAGAUACCCCAGUAGUCGAAGCAGAAAAUGAUGAAUGUCAUAGAUUAGAUAUAUAAGUUUAUUCUAUAAAUGAAAGUGUAAGCAUUCCACCUCAUGAGUAAUUUGGCAACAUUGGAACUGAAAUCAUUAGACCGUUUCUGAAACCAG
rnacentral:rRNA from 1 species